rnacentral:sRNA from 1 species
GCUGGGAACAGUGGCUCGCACCUGUAAUUCCAGCAGCUUGGGAGGCUGAGGCAGGAGGAUCAUGAGUUCAAACCAGCCUCAGCAACAGCAAGGUGCUAAGCAACUGAGUGAGACCCUGUCUCUA